UCGUAAGAAUUGAUAUUGAUUCCUCGGAAUUCAACUACUCUUCGGGAAGGGAUGAAGUGGUCGUCCUAAUACCAGUGCGGGAAGAAUGCUUCUUCGAGCGAGCCAAGGAGAUUUUUGCUGUUAGGGGCCGAUGACAGACCUUGGAAAAGCUGCGGCGGUGGGCGAAUAUAGAGGCGUCGAAUACACAGUGUAUAGGCGAUGGGAUUGAGCAAGUUUGCAUGCUAAGUCCUUGUCUUACAUAUGCAACCCUUCCACCAGACAAUCCAGGAGCCCUCCCUAUGUUAAAAGUGCCGGGAACCAAUCCAAUGGUGGGAAUGGUGGUGAGAGCAAUUCGAGUUCCCAGGUUUACAUCACCGGCGGAAUGUCCGACGCGGCGACAAGCCUUACCAGCCAAUUGUAGAAACGUAUAAAUCGGUUCGCGACGAGCCGUACUGGUCGUGUGGAUUCCCAGAGAGAGAAGGCACUCAAGUGGGACGCUUUGUUGGAUGAUGUCAGCCCGAACUUACAGCAUGAUGGGUUCGAAAUUUCGAUCAAAGAUGGAAAGAAUCUGACCGUCCCGACAGCGGAGCUGCUAAAAAUGAGAAAUCAUCUAACAGGAUUAUGAGAUAAGUACCAUAAUCAAUCCUCGAGGAGCUCCGUUAGAUGGGCCGUAUAUAGAGUUAUAAGGUGUGGGCAGAUGACAUGGAAUUUAACUUCUCUGAGGUUAUUCUCUGAGGUUGUCAGUUGGAAUGUUUGCUUUGAUUUUGGAAUGUAUGCUAUGAUGUUUAAAAAUAAUUUUUGUGGGAGUCCAUAAUUGUCUUUAUAAUUGGGACUUGGGAGUUGAUAGGCUGUCCUAUGUUCAUCAUUUUAUAUCUGAAAAUGUAAGUGUGGUUAUGUUGUGUAUUAUAUCACCACCAGACCGGCGAAUAUCACUCUCGAUUCCGCCGGGAACCACUACUAUAACUGCACUCUCAGCCAGAACUUAACUGUAACAGUAUAGACUCGUCAGCUGGUGGCAGGGCAAAUUCACCGGCCACCCCCACCACGGUACCACCCCCUCGUGUGCAACUUCUCAGCCAGAUGCUUGUGCACAAACCACCAAUGAUGAAAGCCCUAUGCGACCACCAUGACCCCACCUCCUCUUGAUUCUGCAUCAGUUUCUUUGACUGCCAUCGUCUUGCUUUCUCUUAUUGUCCACUUCAGUAGCCUUUAUUCUCCAAGGGAAAAAAAUACUAAUUUUUGGGUAUAUUUUUCGUACGGUACUUUACAAUAAACUUUGUUUUGGAUUUAUUGUAAUUUACACAUCUCAAUUUUGUAUUAGAUUGUAAUGUUAAGCAUAUUGUUUCUUUCGCGGUUGAUCAGUAUUUUACUGUGAGAAUAAUUAUGUUUAAUUCAUGUGAAAAGACAAAUGUAUUUGUUGUUCUA